rnacentral:rRNA from 1 species
CCUACGGGAGGCAGCAGUGAGGAAUAUUGGUCAAUGGGCUUACGCCUGAACCAGCCAAGUCGCGUGAGGGAAGACUGCCCUAUGGGUUGUAAACCUCUUUUGUCAGGGAGCAAUUUGCGCUACGUGUAGCGUUAUCGAUAGUACCUGAAGAAAAAGCAUCGGCUAAUUCCGUGCCAGCAGCCGCGGUAAUACGGAGGAUGCGAGCGUUAUCCGGAUUUAUUGGGUUUAAGGGGUGCGUAGGCGGAAUGCCAAGUCAGCGGUAAAAUCUCGGGGCUAAACCUCGCUUCGCCGUUGAAACUGGCGGUCUGGAGUGGGCGAGAGGUAGGCGGAAUGCGUGGUGUAGCGGUGAAAUGCAUAGAUAUCACGCAGAACUCCGAUUGCGAAGGCAGCAUACCGGCGCCCAACUGACGCUGAAGCACGAAAGCGUGGGUAUCGAACAGGAUUAGAUACCCCGGUAGUC